rnacentral:rRNA from 1 species
AGAGAUGGAUUGGUUGCCUUCGGGAACUCUGACACAGGUGCUGCAUGGCUGUCGUCAGCUCGUGUCGCGAGAUGUUGGGUUAAGUCCCGUAACGAGCGCAACCCUUGUCCUUAGUUACCAGCACGUUAUGGUGGGCACUCUAAGGAGACUGCCGGUGACAAACCGGAGGAAGGUGGGGAUGACGUCAAGUCAUCAUGGCCCUUACGGCCUGGGCUACACACGUGCUACAAUGGUCGGUACAAAGGGUUGCCAAGCCGCGAGGUGGAGCUAAUCCCAUAAAACCGAUCGUAGUCCGGAUCGCAGUCUGCAACUCGACUGCGUGAAGUCGGAAUCGCUAGUAAUCGUGAAUCAGAAUGUCACGGUGAAUACGUUCCCGGGCCUU